CACGGGGAGGUAGUGACGAAAAAUAACGAUACGGGACUCAUCCGAGGCCCCGUAAUCGGAAUGAGUAAACUCUAAAUCCUUUUGCAAGGACCCAUUGGAGGGCAAGUCUGGUGCCAGCAGCCGCGGUAAUUCCAGCUCCAAUAGCGUAUAUUAAAGUUGUUGCGGUUAAAAAGCUCGUAGUCGAAUCUGUGUCUCGCGCCGCUGGUUCAUCGCUCGCGGUGUUAACUGGCGUGUCUCGCGAGACGUCCUGUCGGUGGGCCUUCGAAAUAAUGCGCUUCGGCGGUUGUUCGGGGGCCCAACUCGUAUCCGCUUUGUGCGGGUGCGAAUCCUAUCGCGGUGCUCUUUAUUGAGUGUCGAGGUGGGCCGGCACGUUUACUUUGAACAAAUUAGAGUGCUUAAAGCAGGCCAAUUUUGCCUGAAUAUUCUGUGCAUGGAAUAAUAGAAUAGGACCUCGGUUCUAUUUUGUUGGUUUUCGGAACCCCGAGGUAAUGAUUAAUAGGAACGGAUGGGGGCAUUCGUAUUGCGACGUUAGAGGUGAAAUUCUUGGAUCGUCGCAAGACGGACAGAAGCGAAAGCAUUUGCCAAAAACGUUUUCAUUGAUCAAGAACGAAAGUUAGAGGUUCGAAGGCGAUCAGAUACCGCCCUAGUUCUAACCAUAAACGAUGCCAGCUAGCGAUCCGCCGACGUUCCUCCGAUGACUCGGCGGGCAGCUUCCGGGAAACCAAAGCUUUUGGGUUCCGGGGGAAGUAUGGUUGCAAAGCUGAAACUUAAAGGAAUUGACGGAAGGGCACCACCAGGAGUGGAGCCUGCGGCUUAAUUUGACUCAACACGGGAAAACCUAUCAGGCCC
rnacentral:rRNA from 1 species